GGGGAAGCUCUGCGCGCGUCGCGACUUUCCAUUGGCCCUCCGCGCCGCGGCCUACAAUGAGCCCUCUGAUUGGUCACGGCUGGGUUCGCGCUGCCUUGUGAGAUAACUCAAACUACUGGCAGCUCCAUAAAAUGCUAGGAGGCAAAGAUACCACCCCCGGCCCAUCAACACACACCCCUUCAAUGAAGCACUUGAAACAGGAGGAUGCUAGGCAUUAGCUGGACAUCAGCUAAUCACACAGAAGCUCAGGCUCCUGAGAUGGAAAUGAAGGAGUGCAGAAGUCAAAGUCAUUCCUGGUCCAGAAGCAAGUUGAGCAUUCACUGGCAUGGCCACUGGGAAGGACCACUCCAACCCUUGUGAUUCCAGAAGCCUCAUUUUCAAGGCCCCUACUGCUUAAGGAACUAGGAGUUUGGGCCAUCUCAGUAAUGGCUCCUUGAUAUAUAAUCUGAGGCUUUAGGGGAAGAGGGAUACAGGAAUCAAAAAUAACAACUACUGUUCAUUGAGCACUUUCUAUAGAUAAAGUGUUGGUCUAAGCAUUUCACAUGCUUUGCCUUGUGUAAUCUUCAAACGAGUCACUGAAUUGUGAUCCCUCUUUUAUAGAUGAGUAAACUAGGCACCCACUUAAUGAUAAUAAAAAUUAAAGUAGUAUUAU